rnacentral:rRNA from 1 species
UACGUAGGGUGCGAGCGUUGUCCGGAAUUAUUGGGCGUAAAGGGCUCGUAGGCGGUUUGUCGCGUCGGGAGUGAAAACCCAGGGCUUAACUCUGGGCUGGCUUCGAUACGGGCAGACUAGAGGUAUGCAGGGGAGAACGGAAUUCCUGGUGUAGCGGUGAAAUGCGCAGAUAUCAGGAGGAACACCGGUGGCGAAAGGCGGUUCUCUGGGCAUUACCUGACGCUGGAGGAGCGAAACGCGUGGGG